rnacentral:rRNA from 1 species
UACAGAGGUCCCAAGCGUUGUUCGGAUUCACUGGGCGUAAAGGGUGCGCAGGUGGGUUUGCAAGUUCGAUGUGAAAGCCCCGGGCUUAACCCGGGAAUGGCAUUGGAUACUGCAGAUCUGGAGGAUCGGAGGGGGGACUGGAAUUCUUGGUGUAGCAGUGAAAUGCGUAGAGAUGCGGAGGAACACCGAUGGCGAAGGCAGCCCCCUGGGCUAGCACUGACGCUCAGGCACGAAAGCGUGGGGAGCAAACAGG